CCUACGGGUGGCAGCAGUGAGGAAUAUUGGUCAAUGGACGCGAGUCUGAACCAGCCAAGUAGCGUGAAGGAUGACGGCCCUAUGGGUUGUAAACUUCUUUUGUUUGGGAGUAAAAGGUGCCACGUGUGGCUUUUCGUGUGUACCCGAUGAAAAAGCAUCGGCUAACACCGUGCCCGCAGCCGCGGUAAUACGGAGGAUGUGGGCGCUUUCCGGAUUUAUUGGGGUUAAAGGGAGCGCAGGUGGGCAGUUAAGUCAGCGGUGAAAUUUUGCGGCUCAACCGUGUAAAUGCAGUUGAAACGGGUGGUCGUGAGUGCACAAGGGGUGGGCGGAAUUCGUGGUGUAGCGGUGAAAUGCUUAGAUAUCACGAAGAACUCCGAUUGCGAAGGCAGCUGACCGGCGUGCAACUGACGCUGAGGCUCGAAAGUGUGGGUAUCAAACAGGAUUAGAUACCCGUGUAGUC
rnacentral:rRNA from 1 species